rnacentral:misc_RNA from 1 species
UUCAUCUCAUUGAACAAGCGACUGGAAUCUUCUGGGCUUCCACAUUUACCAUAAAAAGUAAUAAGCGCAUUGGAGACUGUUAUAAAAGAAAUCAAACCAGAAACUAUGGCUCGACAAUGAAAUUGGGCACCCUCUUCUAGGCUAGCCAGGUUUGCACAUGAGCUUAUUACACUUGCUAGAGUAAAAUAAUCUGGCUCAAUUCCAUUUCUCCGCAUGUCACAGAAAACCCUGACAGCUUCUUCACUGAAGCCAUUCUGGCCAUAACCCACUAACAUUGCAGUCCAUGUUACAACAUUCUUACGUGUCAUUCUCUUAAAAACUGCUUCUGCAUAUCGGAUAAUUUUACAUUUGCAGUACAUGUCAACAAGCGCACUACCCACAAAGAUGUUAUCCUUAUAAUCACUCCGAAUUAUGAAGGCAUGA